UCAUGUCCUCUGCAUGCGC
rnacentral:snRNA from 1 species